GGCUAACUUGGAGGAAGAGUAACAGGCGACUUUCAGGAGGCAAUAAGCGUCUUCGUGAGGGAGCCUCCUCUACACAGGCAUUGAGUUUUCUGAAGUGCACAUACAAUCCGGUGUUCUUCGUCUUAAAAAGAGGAUAUAUUCUCAUUUGUAUCACUAGGAUACACAUUUAUAUGAGUUGGGGGAUAUGUUUGUUCAAUGUUCAUUAGGCAAAUUAACAAUAGAUAUAAUAUCAUUAGGACACCUUUUUAGUUUUUUAACGAUUAGGACAUUAUUAAUAAUCAUUAGAUCUAAAUAGUAUGAUCUAUCGGUUACAAUCAAAAUUAACCUUUUUAGUUACAGUGUACCUAAUCAUGUUUGAAUGUGUUAAACAGGAGCUCCGAAUCUGUUGUUGAGUUUGGUGAAACCGCACUUGAAAGGUACAUCAGCUUCAAAAAUUGACGCUUUGAAAUCAAUUGGGUUUGGUGGAACUACAACGGUACAUCUUGAUUUGAUGUACGAGGAUUUCAACCGGUGGGCCGUAGAAGUUUAAGAUGUUGGAACCAAUUCCUUUUACUUGAUCAAGAGCGAUGUUCUUACGAUAACUAUAAAAGAUGUGAAAAGAGUGCAUGACAUAAACAUAAACAAUAUGUUCUACAAAUAAAUUGUAAAUACCAUUACAAAUAUUAUUGAAAAUAAUGAAUUUGAAAUGUGAUAAAUUAAAUUGUAUCAUAAUUUGAAUUAUUAGUACUGAUUGUACCAAGGAGAUGAAACGAG
rnacentral:lncRNA from 1 species